rnacentral:misc_RNA from 1 species
GUUGAGCAAGAAGUGGUUGGUGAUAAUACCUCAGUUUUGCAAUGUAUUCUUAACACUGAUAUGGAGAGAACCCAACUUCUGGAAGAAGAGGCUCGUCUGCUUGAAUUACAGAGAGUGACCGACUUAGAAGGCGAAUCUGCAAAGAGUGAUAAGUUGAAUGGAGGUAUCGACAAAAAUUCGCAAGCAAAAAGGCUUGAAGAGAUAUACAAAAGACUUGAUUUCAUUGAUGCUUACUCGGCUGAGUCACGUGCAGCAACUAUACUAUCGGGUUUGAGCUUCUCUCCAGAAAUGCAAAAGAGAGCAACCAAAACAUUUUCUGGAGGAUGGAGAAUGAGAAUCGCUCUUGCUCGGGCAUUGUUCAUUGAACCUGAUCUAUUGUUGCUUGAUGAACCCACGAAUCAUCUUGAUCUGCAUGCUGUCUUAUGGCUGGAAAGUUACCUGGUGAAGUGGCCGAAGACAUUUAUAGUUGUGUCUCAUGCUAGAGAGUUCUUGAAUUCUGUAGUCACAGAUAUCAUCCAUCUACAAAAUCAGAAAUUGAGCACCUUUAAAGGAGACUAUGAUACAUUUGAAAGGACACGAGAAGAACAAGUUAAGAAUCAACAGAAAGCAUUCGAGGCAAAUGAACGUACAAGGGCCCACAUGCAGACCUUUAUUGACAAGUUCAGGUACAAUGCAAAGCGUGCAUCUCUUGUUCAGUCUAGAAUUAAGGCACUGGAACGAAUUGGUCGUGUGGAUGAAGUCAUCAAUGAUCCUGACUACAAGUUUGAGUUCCCUUCUCCUGAUGAUAGACCUGGCGCUCCUAUUAUAAGCUUCAGUGACGCAUCCUUUGGAUAUCCUGGGGGACCAAUAUUGUUCAAAAAUUUGAAUUUUGGAAUAGAUUUGGAUAG